GAGCCGCGGUCAGAGCCUGACCAAACUCAUACGCAUUACAGGGCUGAGGGAUGAUGGACCGCCCGUCUGCUCCGUCUGCACUGCUGACCUGAUCUUCAUCAUCAUCAUCAUCAUCCACCUGCACAGAGAGCUGGUCUCAGACCUGUACUGUGUGUGACCUCCAUCAGUAGCUGCUCUGCCUCCGUCACACUCGUGUCCAAACGCAACACCUGCUGCAGGUCUGAACGACACGCCAGACACUCAUCCUCACCGUCAUCCACUUCCUGAAUGAGGAUCUUCCUGCCUGUGCUGCGUCUCUCCUGACACUGCUCCGUCUCGUCCGUCAGGAGCUUCUGAAGAUAAUGGAGGUGGAUGCGGUCCAGCGUUCUUCAUAACAUCAGAAGACAGAAGGUCAUACAGGUCUGAACCACAUGAGGGCGAGUAAAUGAUGAUGUUUCUUCAUGUACAGUAUGUGUCUUGUGUAAAAGCGCCAUCAUGUGGUCAGUGUGAGGCGUGGCGUCUGUACCAGUGCUGUGCUGUUGUGCGGCUCCAUCAGAAGAACGGCUCUCAGGUCAUCAUGUGAUUCCUGCAGGUGACCCAGAUGUUUGUGCACAGUGGCACGACGCAGUAGAGCUACACACACACACACACACACACACACGUUAUUAAAGCAUACAGUAGUUACAGUCGGUAUGAAAUAUUAAGUCAACCUGUUUAUUUUCUAAAUGCAUGUUAUUGAUCUUCUUGUGAACAAUUCAUUGGUGCAUAUUUUUAAAAUUCAUGUUUAUUCUAAAGAAAUUUUGACCUCAUAAUGUUCAGUGUGUUUCACUCAGAUGUAUACGGAAGUCCAUUUCAGCCAAAAUCAUGCUUUAGUAAAUUAUAAUUAUGACAUAAAAGAUUAAAAAGUUGAUAUAAAAUGUCUAAAUGA